GACGAACGCUGGCGGCGUGCUUAACACAUGCAAGUCGAACGAUGAACCCGGAGCUUGCUCCGGUGGAUUAGUGGCGAACGGGUGAGUAACACGUGAGUAACCUGCCCUUGACUCUGGGAUAACUGCGGGAAACUGUAGCUAAUACCGGAUACGACCCUCGGCGGCAUCGCCAGGGGGUGGAAAGAAUUUCGGUCAAGGAUGGACUCGCGGCCUAUCAGCUAGUUGGUGAGGUAACGGCUCACCAAGGCGACGACGGGUAGCCGGCCUGAGAGGGUGAGCGGCCACGCUGGGACGGAGACACGGCCCGGACUCCUACGGGAGGUAGGAGUGGGGAAUGUUGCACAAUGGGGGCAAGCCGGAUGCAGCAACGCCGCGUGAGGGAUGACGGCCUUCGGGUUGUAAACCUCUUGCAGCGCCGACGAAGCGCAAGUGACGGUAGGUGCAGAAGAAGGACCGGCCAACUACGUGCCAGCAGCCGCCGUAA
rnacentral:rRNA from 1 species